CGAAUGAGGGGUUUGCAUGUCGAUUUCAAGGCUGCAUGGCAACAUUCACAUACCAUUCAAGAAGAGUUAGGCAUGAGCUUGAAAAACACAACCUUCAUCUAUUGCCCCCAUUUGAAGGUGAUGAAUUUGGCUACUACAUUUGCCGAAGUAACUGUGGCUUGUGCUUUAAAACGAAAUCAACUAGAAAUAGGCAUGAGAAACAGAUUCAUCCUGGGACUUCAUAUCCAUUUGCAAGUUCAAGUUGAAUUGCUGACACUAAAGAGAAGCCAAAGGAAGACUACUUAUACAAUUAUCAUCAAAGUAGACUGGCCUUUGGUCUGUUAAUAAUGGCAUUCGAAGAUGCAGUGAAGGAAGGUGAUGGCCAGCGUUUAUGUGACAUUUACAGAGUUGCACUUUUACUCUAUAAAUUACACAAUCACUACAAAUAUUCCUAUGUUGUUCUCCUUUUCUUGGUAAAUUUAAAUGCCUUGCUCCCAAAAUUUGAGGCUGAGCGACUCAAAUGGAACCGAUUUUAUAACAUUAAUGGUGGAAAAGGCUGCAACAUAUCCCUUGAGUUAAAGAAAGAGCACCAGAAUUGUCUACUGAAGAAGAUGUGGCUUGCUCUUGGACCAAAUCUUGAUGAAACGAAUGCAGCCCGGCUGGCUGGAACACUUGAUGCGGUUGAAACUAUCAUUAGAAAUGUUGACAGUGAUUGUUCAUUGAAGAAGACAAGUUCUUAUAGGUCAGAAGCAAUGAAGAGUGAAGCUGUUUCUCAGAUUCUGGAUGAUCUGUUACAAAUAAAGACCUUCACGUAUACACCUGGAAGGGAAGGUCACCCCUCCUUCCCACAAAAGAGUUCAAAUUUAGUCAAGGGCUUGGACUUUAGAGACCUUCAUUGUUGGAUGAAAGAACAUUUGAAAUCAUGGAAAACAGCAUGCACUUUGGAAUGAAUUUUGCACAUAUGCACAUUUAUAUUUUAGAUGGAUAUUACCUGGUGUUAUGAGACUCGAUCAUUAUGAUAUGUCAGAGAAAAACAUUCAAAUAAACAUUCAAAUAAUAUUUACAUUAACUAUGGGUAUUAGAUAUCAAACAUAUUCACAAUAUUUACAUAGAUGUUUAUCAAACUGUCACAUUUGUAGCUAAAAGAUGUCUGGACAUAAUAUGAUCAAUAAAUGAUUCAUACGAAAGUUUUAAAAUUGGAAUAUAACCAUUUCAAAAAAAAUUUAAAGAGGGUAUAUUGUGGUGAAUGAGUGAUAUAAUAUUUUCUCAAAAUGCUGACUGAAAAAACAAAAAUACCCCAGAGAACAUAUUUGAAUUGUUCAAAAUAUCAAUUGGAAUUAUUGGAUAUUCUGAAGUAUUAUUGUUGUUUGGUCAGCAUUCUAAGAAAUUGUUUUAACACACCCUCAGGUAUUUGCAGCACCUGGUUUUGUUGGCCACUUCUGAGAAAUAUUUUAGUUUUUUUUUAAGGUAAAUAGUUAGGUUUUCUAGCCAUAUUUCACCAACCUUAGCAAGGCACCUUUCAUGACAUGGUAAUCAUAUCAGAGUGGAAAUACCUGCUAAAUGAACUAAGACCUACCAAAUAAAAGCUCAGUCUAUAUUUCCUCAA